UACGAAGGGGGCUAGCGUUGUUCGGAAUCACUGGGCGUAAAGCGCACGUAGGCGGAUCUUUAAGCCAGGGGUGAAAGCCCGGGGCUCAACUCCGGAAUUGCCUUUAAAACUGCAUCGCUAGAAUUGUGGAGAGGUAAGUGGAAUUCCGAGUGUAGAGGUGAAAUUCGUAGAUAUUCGGAAGAACACCAGUGGCGAAGGCGACUUACUGGACACAUAUUGACGCUGAGGUGCGAAAGCGUGGGGAGCAAACAGG
rnacentral:rRNA from 1 species